rnacentral:rRNA from 1 species
CUAAGUAUCAUUAAGUGAAUACAUAGCUUAAUGAGGGGAACUCAGGGAACUGAAACAUCUAAGUACCUGAAGGAAGAGAAAGAAAUUCGAUUCCGUAAGUAGCGGCGAGCGAACGCGGAUUAGCCCAAACCAAUAAAGUUUUCUUUAUUGGGGUUGUGGACAUAUCAUAACGAAGAGGUAUCGUAAUUGAAGAGGUUUGGAAAGACCCACCACAGAAGGUAAUAGUCCUGUAUGUUAAACGAGAAGACUUUAGAUAUGAUCCAGAGUACCACGGG